UACGUAGGGUGCGAGCGUUAAUCGGAAUUACUGGGCGUAAAGCGUGCGCAGGCGGUUUUGUAAGCCAGAUGUGAAAGCCCCGGGCUUAACCUGGGAAUGGCAUUUGGGACUGCAAGGCUGGAGUUUGGCAGAGGAGACUGGAAUUCCUGGUGUAGCAGUGAAAUGCGUAGAUAUCAGGAGGAAUACCGGAUGGCGAAGGCAGGUCUCUGGGCUAUAACUGACGCUCAUGCACGAA
rnacentral:rRNA from 1 species